rnacentral:rRNA from 1 species
UACAGAGGUCCCAAGCGUUGUUCGGAUUCACUGGGCGUAAAGGGUGCGUAGGCGGUCGGGUAAGUCUGAUGUGAAAUCUCACAGCUUAACUGUGAAACUGCAUUGAAUACUAUCCUGCUCGAGGUUUGGAGGGGGGACUGGAAUUCUCGGUGUAGCAGUGAAAUGCGUAGAUAUCGAGAGGAACACCAGUGGCGAAGGCGAGUCCCUGGACAACACCUGACACUGAGGCACGAAAGCUAGGGGAGCAAACAGG